UUGGCCACUUAUAGGAGGUCCCUAAAGCUA
rnacentral:piRNA from 1 species